UACAGUAUGCCAUGUCACCCUGCAGCCCAAGACUGGUUACUCACUGAAGCUAAGCAGGGCUGAGCCUGGUCAGUACCUGGAUGGGAGACCACUAGGGAACACCAGGUUGCUGUUGGAA
rnacentral:rRNA from 1 species